UGUAGGACGGCUUGACGGCUGUAGGACGGCUUGAUGGCUGUAGGACGGCUAGUGUGUAGGUAGGACAAGGUAGGAUGGCUGUAGGACGGCUAGUAUAUUCCUUAUUUGUCUAACAAUUGAACACAGCGCUAACAAGAAUAGUGAACAAGCAAUUGACUUUGGUAGCAGCAUUGAUCACGAACCAUCUAAAUCUAAUGAUACUUUGAUAGAAUCUGUAUGCCAAGCUUAUGAAGGAAAUGAACUGCAAAUCGGGAUUUCUGACUCCUCAGUACCACUGGUGCAAUCAUCGGUCUGCUUUCCCACAUCUACUACAAUAUUGGAUAAGGAUUAUCCAUGCAAGGAGAGUGCAGUGGACUCUUUAGUCGUCUAAUUGUCAUGUAAUAAAUAGAGGGACAAAGUGCUGCCGAUAAACUUAUAGGUGAUCAUGAGGGGAACCGAAUAAGUAGAUUUUGAUUUGAGAACUUAUAGUAAUGAUGCUUGGAGGAGAAUUAAAAGAUAGACGGAGCUGGUACUGAGACCAUAUUUUUGCAUGGGCCCCACAAGUUGGUCAUUUUCAUAAAAUGAGGACAUUGAAAUGGUGGAAUUAUAUGAUGCAUAUAUCAGAAAUUUGA